UGCUCUGUGGCAUAGUGGGUCAGUGCAUCUGACUGUUAACUAGAAGGUUGGUGGUUCGAGCCCACUCAAGGACAG